rnacentral:rRNA from 1 species
AUUGAACGCUGGCGGCAUGCCUUACACAUGCAAGUCGAACGGUAACGGGCCUUCGGGUGCCGACGAGUGGCGAACGGGUGAGUAAUACAUCGGAACGUGCCCGAUCGUGGGGGAUAACGAGGCGAAAGCUUUGCUAAUACCGCAUACGAUCUACGGAUGAAAGCAGGGGACCGCAAGGCCUUGCGCGGACGGAGCGGCCGAUGGCAGAUUAGGUAGUUGGUGGGAUAAAAGCUUACCAAGCCGACGAUCUGUAGCUGGUCUGAGAGGAUGAUCAGCCACACUGGGACUGAGACACGGCCCAGACUCCUACGGAAGGCAGCAGUGGGGAAUUUUGGACAAUGGGCGCAAGCCUGAUCCAGCCAUGCCGCGUGCAGGAUGAAGGCCUUCGGGUUGUAAACUGCUUUUGUACGGAACGAAAAGCCUUCUUUUAAUACAGGAGGGUCAUGACGGUACCGUAAGAAUAAGCACCGGCUAACUACGU